rnacentral:tRNA from 1 species
GGACGGUAAGCGAAUUGGAAAGCAGCUUGUCUUGAAAACAGGUGCCCGAAAGGGUUGCAGGUUCGAGUCCAUGCACCGUCCGCCA